CUUGCCUAAUUUUAGUGGAAUCAUCUUCUAUUUACUCUUCAUAUAUUUGCCUUUGAAAAUUCAAAUCUAGAUAUCGAAAAACAACCAAACAACUUGUCCAGCGCCUCUGGUGUAUACAGAAGACGAAGAGAGCUGGUAUGAAGGUAUUCACGGAUGCGGUAUUCAAUGCGAGAAUCCAAUAUUUACUGCAGAAGAACAUGAUCGAAUCCAUCAAUUCAUUGGAGCUUUCGGUACUUUUUCUAUCUUAUGUACGGCGUUUACUGUGGUGAG